rnacentral:rRNA from 1 species
CAGCCGCCGCGGUAAUACGGAGGGUGCGAGCGUUACCCGGAAUCACUGGGCGUAAAGGGCGCGUAGGCGGCAUGUUAAGUCUGGUUUUAAAGACAGGGGCUCAACCCCUGGAGUGGACUGGAUACUGGCACGCUUGACCUCUGGAGAGGUAACUGGAAUUUCUGGUGUAGCGGUGGAAUGCGUAGAUACCAGAAGGAACACCAAUGGCGAAGGCAAGUUACUGGACAGAAGGUGACGCUGAGGCGCGAAAGUGUGGGGAGCGAACCGGAUUAGAUACCCCCGUAGUCCCUGUCUCUUAUAC